rnacentral:lncRNA from 1 species
CAGUUAUUGAAGGCGCAGGAUCCCAGGGAAGGAAUGAAGAGCAGGAGGAGGAGGAAGAGGAGGGUGUUUUAGGCCAGGAGAACUAUGGGGUUUCUGUCGCUUCCACUCUUUCAGAUUUGCUGGCUCUUUCCUUCGAAGCCCGGGACAGCAGGCGAGCAGAUCCUCACCUUCCAGCUCGGUCUCUCUGGUGUUUUGGCAGAGGCGGCUCCAAUGCAUGGGCCAGACUCGGUCCCUGGCCAGGCCAACCCUGUCUCGGGAUCCUCUAGAAUGCAUCAGCUGGGCUUGGGAGCGAAGGGAGACGCCUGGAAGAGAAUUGUAUUGCUUCAUCCCCGAGGGCACCUAUGAGGACGCGGCUCUGGGAGCAGGGAUCUGGGCCCGGACGCGGGAAGAGGAGAACAGGGAGCAGGACCCAGGCGCGGGCUGGGGAUCAGAGCGCGGGAAGUGGGGAGCGGGUUCCGGGUUCAGACAGCGGGGCAUGGGAAGCCGGGCCACAGUAUACUCACCGCUGCGCAGCGUCCCGGUUGGCGGGCCGCGUAGGCCGGGCCGCCGCGGAAAGGAAAGGCCGGAGCCCUCCGGCUCCCUCCCCUGGGACACUUCCUGCACCGCUCUAGGACCGAGGAGGUCUCCUCAUCUCAGUGGUUCGCUUCCCCGCCUCCUGGCCGAGGUCCGCAAUUCCAUUUCAAAGCCAACGCUGCCAGAGCCACCCAAAUCGGUAGGACUGGAGAAAUGCAGACCCAGCGAUCCACGGUGCUCGCCGAAGCAGCGGCCCGCGGCUUCGUGGCAUGGAGAUGAUCUACGAUUUCUCUGUUUAAGGAAGACUGUAGCACUCUGGGUCCCUCUGAGCACCAGGAUAGUCCUGGUACAUGGUAGGAAGUCACCCUUAAAGAAGGUGGUUUGAUAGAGACACCCCACCACCGGCAGACUUCGUGCUUCCGUUUCCUUCUAAUAAUUGGGACUGGGACAAUCUCUUCCGACUAGUAGAACCUGGAAUAGGGACUAAUAGACUGGAAUCGGAGCACCUGUGUUAAAUCACACCCAUCAAGGCGCAGUCAGGUGAUCUAAGGCCUGCGUGACCUCUCUGUGCUUCAGGGAUCGCAUUUGGAUGCAUGUGCAAGCUGUGCUGUAGCCACCUCAGGUCCUGAAUCUUUAGGACUUGCUGGAGCUCAUUGCUGAUCUAUUUUGGCAGCACGAGUGGUGAUGCACACCUGUAAUCUCCGCACUCCGGGACUGGGGGCUGGAGGAUCAGGUCAUGGUCUCCUAUAUAGUGAGCGAGUUUGGGGUCAGCUUGAAUGAUGAGAUACCCAGUCUGAAAAUAAAGAUGCAAAUUGAUGAGCUGUGGAGCGACACCCGCAUGCAGUUGAGUCAUCACGCAUAUACCUACCUCCCCACAUCCUUCAUGGCCCCCAGGAAGCUCCAGCUGGCUUACAGACUGACUUGUUUUGAGAUAGGGUCUCACUGUGUAGCCCUGACUGGCCUGGAACCCACCGAUCUGCUUGCUUCUGCCUCCUGAGCUGCGUGAUUAAAAGCAUGUGCCACCACACCUGGCUCUAUUGCAUUUAUUUAUGUAUGCGGUGGGAGUGGGUACGCACACACACUUUAGAGGUCAGAGAACAGCUUACCGCGAUCAGCUCUCUCUGUCCACCCUGGGGAUUGAACUCAGGUCGCCUGGCUUGCUAGCCAGUGUCUUUGCCACAGAGCCAUCUCAGCA